GUGGGGAAUCUUGCGCAAUGGGCGAAAGCCUGACGCAGCCAUGCCGCGUGAAUGAUGAAGGUCUUAGGAUUGUAAAAUUCUUUCACCGGGGACGAUAAUGACGGUACCCGGAGAAGAAGCCCUGGCUAACUUCGUGCCAGCAGCCGCGGUAAUACGAAGGGGGCUAGCGUUGCUCGGAAUUACUGGGCGUAAAGGGCGCGUAGGCGGACAGUUUAGUCAGAGGUGAAAGCCAAGGGCUCAACCUUGGAAUUGCCUUUGAUACUGGCUGUCUUGAGUACGGGAGAGGUGAGUGGAACUCCGAGUGUAGAGGUGAAAUUCGUAGAUAUUCGGAAGAACACCAGUGGCGAAGGCGACUCACUGGCCCGUUACUGACGCUGAGGCGCGAAAGCGUGGGGAGCAAACAGGAUUAGAUACCCCAGUAGUCC
rnacentral:rRNA from 1 species